rnacentral:antisense_RNA from 1 species
UAUAUAUUCGGAUGUAAUAUAGAAGAAGAGAAAAGAAUAAUAAUGAAGUAAAUAAACUAGUACAUCCAAUUUCCUUCAUCAUUAUUUACCAAAUAUCCCUCAUUAGAAUUGUCAUAAUACCCAUAGUUGUAAUUAUACGCAUUUGGGUAGUAUUGAGGUUGUCCAUUUGCUGCUUGUACUGGAUCUGGGGGAGCAGGGCCUUGACUGAAGGCAUAAUCCCCAUCUCCUGCAUAUGAAGGAUCCAUUGUAUUUGGAGUAACUAUAUUUGAAAUUUGAGACUUAUAAAAUAUCCCAACAGCCAAAACAGCUAAAACAAUUAUAAUAUUAUAAAACCACCAAGGAAAUUCAAAUUGAUCACAAGUUUCUCCUCCGUAAAAUGGCGGGCAUGUACAAGCGAAGUUUGACUUUGGUAAUUCACUACAAAUACCGCCAUUUAAGCAUGGAGAAGGAUCACAAGACUUGGAGCAAACAGAAACAUUACAUUCUUGGACUUUGUUAAGAUCAUGAUCACAUUUUCCACCAUUUUGUUCUGGAACAACUAUGGAUCUUGUGGAAAUUUGACUUCCAACACCACAAGUUGUACUACAUUCGCUCCAAUCUGACCAUUCUGUUACAAUACAAUCACUAGCGCAAGAAACACCAUGGCAAGAUUUUAAUUGGAAUGUAUCAAUACAGCUUUCAAUAAAAUAUGCUGCACUUAAUAACUUUCUUGUUCUGGUUGUUGAUCCUGAUCCACAAGUAGCUGAGCACUCACCCCACAUUGUCCAUUCCGAAUAUUGGCAUGGUGAGCAUGAAAUAUCAGCAUUACAAGGACUUGAAUCAAGUAAUUUAGGACAUGGUAAACCACCAUUCAUACUUGGCAUAAUUACUGAACGGUAUCUAGCUUUUGAACCAGUUGAGCAAGUUUUUGAACAAGUUGACCAAUCUGUCCACUGUGAGAUUUGGCAAUCUUCUACUUUUGGAUAAAUUUGUGAUCCUGAUCCACUAGUUAUUUGAACUUUAGUUGGAACACUUGCAAUACAAUCAAUAAUAUCUAAUUUUGUUCUUCUAGUACCAUCAACAAAUACAUUAAAUCCAAACUUUCUUCUUACUAAUUGUACUUGAAUUAAAGAAUUUGCUGAGUGAGUAAAUUUGCUGUUAUCACUUCUAGAAUAACUACCACAACCUGUUUUAUAACUAUUACCAGUUACUUCAAAAUAAAAUCCUACCUCUCCUGAGCUAGUAUAUACUUGAAAUCUAAAUGUACCAUCAGAUUUUACUUGAGAAUGUACAAAAACUAUGUGAUUAUUUGGCCAUGAAAUUACUGGUGGAUCUGAUACUUUACUAAUUUCAUAAACAUCUGCAUAAUUCCCCAAAUAGUUAAAUGCAGAGUUUUCUGAUAUAAUAUUUUCUG